rnacentral:misc_RNA from 1 species
ACACAACAGUAAUGACAUUGAAAUGGCGCCAGAAAUACAAAAGCAGAAAAAGGCCAAAGAAACUAAGACAACGAAUAAUUGCAACAAACACUGCCCCAGCAAAAGCAACAACAACACCAAACCAUAAAGCAACAACAAAAGCAACCAGCAGACUGAGAGAAACAAGAUGCAAACUGAGGAGGCACAAGAAAUGUCUGCCAAGUGAACGACACAGAAAUGUAGCUAAAAUGCUGCUGAAAGUGUCGACAAGUGCAACACAAUGUCGCGCAAUUAAAGCAACAGAAACACCAGCAACAUCCACAAUGACUUCCAGCUGCAGCGCCCAUUGUCAGUCGCAACAGCAGCAGCAGCAGCACCAGUUGCAGCAACCAAAACAGCAGCAGCAGCAGCAUCAGCAGUCGCAACAUCAACAGCGGCGACAUCCACUUCCGGCGACGCUGACGCUGCUCCUCUGCCUGGGAAUCAGUUUGGGCAUGGCUGCCACAGCAGCAGCCGCCGGCGGAGGAGGGAGUGGUGGAGGAGGAGGUGGCGGAGGCGGAGCUGCACCCGGUUCCGGAUCCGGAGCAGCUGGCUUCCCAUCGAGUUCUAGCUCCAUCUCGAGCUCCUUGGGGCCGGGCAAACCUGCCAAUUUGCAACUGGCACCCGGCUCCUCCUCGACGGGCUGUUCCCUCGCCGAAUUCAGCUGCUCCAACGGAAGAUGCGUGCCACUCAGCAAGUACUGCAACAAUCUAAACGACUGCGGCGACGGGAGUGACGAGCCGCGAUUUUGUACACGCUGCAAUCGCACCUACUACGGAGACAUUGGACAGACCUACGCCCUGGAGCUGCACCGCCCCAAACAGGAUCGCGUGCCCUUCGUGUGCGUGCUCACCUUCACGGCGGCAGGUGGACAACACGGCGAUGUGGUGCAGGUAACCCUGGACAGCUUCACGAUUGGCAGGUUCACCUCGUACGUCCAUGAGGGUUGUCCAGAUGGAUACAUGCAGAUAGCGGAGUCGGCACGGACGCCCAUCGGCGGCAUGUGGUGUGGCAGCUCCUGGGGACCAGUGCUCUUCUACAGCGAGACUCGCUCCCUGAUAUUCACCAUCCGGCUGAACAGACUGGCGAGGGAUCAGAGUGGCUACAACUUCGACUUUCGCAUCAGAUACAAGGUUUUGUCCAGGGACAGUUCGGUGACCCGCUACGGGGGCAUUAAGCUGGCAGAGCUGGCCCAGUGGCACAACCGCAGUAGCUUUCUCAAUCAGCAGCAGCAACAGCAGCAGCAACAACAAGGCGCUCCCGGUAUCCUGGAGGAUUUUACUAACUCCAGUGGAGCCCGUUCGGACCGCUAUGGCCAGGACUUUAGCCUUUUCAGCGCUUAUGCCAACAACAAGACCUUCAUGGCCUCACUGGAGAAAUCCUUGGCCAAGGACGAGCAGAACUACACGGAGCCGAAGUACUAUCUGGGUGACCUCAUACCCGGAACGUACUGCUCCAGGAUCUUCAGCGACUGCGACAAGAAGCCGUGUCGCCUGCAGUCGCCCAACUUUCCGGGCAUCUAUCCGCGCAACCUCACCUGCUACUACGCAGUGCGACAGCACGACGUGCCCCAUGGCAAACACGCCCUGAUUCUAGUCAAACAGCCCAAGGGCAAUCUGGUCUGGAUUUCCACCCAGGAAACGGCCGCGGCGAACAAAAUGGCACCGCCACCGAGUGCCAGCGACAAGGAUAAGAAAUUCGAGCCGAGGCUGAAAACAUGGAAUGACUGCGACUACAUUCAGGAAAAUGUAAAGCCCAAAUGGAAAUCCACGGACUACGUGACCGUGUACGACGGCUACACCACACGUGACCCCAUCAUAUUGAAGUUCUGCGGCGGCGGUCAGGCGGUGCCGGCGGCCGUUUCCAGCGGCCCGGAGCUUUUGGUCGAGUUCAGCACGUCGCCGUUUGGCACCUUCACCGGCACCUCGUCGCAGGUACUGCCGCUCUACGGAUUCCAGCUGGAGGUCGAAGUUCAAUUCGUGGACAUCCAGAGUCCCACGUACUCGAAAAACAAGAAACCCUGCGAGUUUUGGAUUCGCGGUGCAGGUCGUGGCAUCCUCGAGAGUCCCAAGCACUCGCUGGCUCCGAAUUCCACGUGCCUGUAUCACCUCCAAGGACUGGGCGUCUUCAAGACCUUUGACCACCUGAGUUUGUCGCGCAGGACGAGCAGUCAGUCGGGGAUGCAUCAGCCGCUCUCCCGGUUCAAGGUGUGGAUUUCUGUUCUGAAGUUCAACUUGGAUCCGGAGUUUGGCCAGAUAGAUGAGACAUCGGUGGGCGCCAUUGGUGUGCUGCAGACGCAGGAGGAUUGCAGCGGAAUGCUGCGCAUCUGGGAUGGAACCCUAAGGGAUGCACCCGUUUGCAAGGACUUGAACUGUGCCACCGAGACGAGUAGUUAUAACACCUUGGGUCACUACACCCAUAACUCCACCAGUGUGAUUGCCAGAUUUUGUCGGGGCACAAUCCCACGCACCUGUGAUCGAUCCAACAUAAACGAGACCUACGCAAGACCCUGCACCAUCUCGGAGAGCUAUGUGUCCAGCAGCGAUGCCAUUACGCUCGAGCUACGCAACACUGAAUCCACAGUAUUAAGACCACUGGAUUUCAAGCUGAAGUACGAGUUCAUUGAUUUGCACCAGGAUGGUUUGCCUUGGGGUGGUGGGGAGCACGAUUGCAACCGGAAGUUCCUUAGCAGCAUGAUGGAUCGCAAGGAUCCUGCCAUCUUCCGCAGUGUGCGCAACAUAUUCCUAUUUGGAAGAGGAGGAACUAGGAACCUGAAGUGCAUCUACAAAUUCGAGGCACAGCGAGGCGAAAGGGUCCGAAUCAAGAUGAGAAAAGUAACAACCACCAACAGACCUUGCUAUUCACGUGUGGAUGAGGACAUUAAUCGAUCUUUUUGCUAUGGCGAUACCAAUGUCCGAAUUGAGAUCUUUGAGCGACCCUACCACGAUUCCAUUUUACUUCAUCGAGGCUGCAUGUGCAACUCCUCUAACCAAUCCCACCUGCCGGUGGAGUACACUUCCACAAGUCGCGAUGUGGAGGUGCACUUCAUCGCCCAAAACAUGACCACCUUGGACGAUCCAGAUACGGUUAACUUUGAGGGAAUGUUUGAGUUCGUCAAGGCUCCAACAAGCUGCAAGGAUGGACGCAGGAAAUUCGGACCAAGUGGCACUAUAGAUAUGACCUUCGGAGACGUGGAGUGCCGCUCAAGACCCUGGCUCAUUGAGCCUUCUAAUGGCAAUAAGUUUCUGUACGUCCGACUGAAGGCCAUAUUCUUGAGCAAACACAAUCCCACGCAGACACUGAACGCGACCUAUGUGCAGUCAGAUACUUGGAGAUGUGAGACCAAGUCCAGAGCUGUGCUAACCACGUCGGAGGGUCUAACCAUUGUGGCUUGUCCACUGAGUCCGGACUCGAAUGCCUACGAAUUUGUGGAGAUCUUUAGUUCCGGUUGGAACGAAAGGCCCAAUUUUGCGCUUGUCAAUCGAUCCCGAGCCAUCAGCGUCGAGUUCCUGCGUCCUGGCAACGGGGAGUACUCCUUUAACUGGAUGGAACUGAUUCCCAGGCCCACACUUAGCAUGGCGGAGGACUGCCAGUUUAAGUGUGCCGAACUGGGUGCCUGUGUAAAUGCCAGUGUUUGGUGUGAUGGCGUAGUCCACUGUCCUUCCGGGGACGAUGAGACCUUCCUGCAGUGUUCAGCCUUGAUGAAACUGCCCGCCGAGAUCCUGGCCACGCUCUGCCUGAUCUUUGUGCUCUCGUGUUGUGCUUUCGCUGCCUUUGCCUACAAGAAAAUCAAACGCAAGCUGCGCGGCUCCUCGGUGCUGCAGACGCGACUCAAAUCGCUGAGCUCGAUGGACACGGCCGUUCUGGAUGAAAAGGAGGUGAUUUGCUGACAAAGCGACAAUUCUGUGCGUUACGUGGAGAUCGAUCGUGUGACCACGGUCUGAUGCUCGACGACCAGUAACGUGCAGAAUUGUGCCCCGGAACAGACACCAGUAUCGCCACCACAAGUCAACCAAGAAACAGAAACCACAAUUUCAACUGACGCGAAUGCGAAACGCAACAAUGAAACGAUGAGAAAGAAAAAGGCAACUCUUUUUCGAAAUCAAAACCGAACAACCAGAAUCAAAAUCGUUCGCCUGUUUUUUAAACUGCAUUUAUAUGAGAGCGUAUCCGCUACAGAUCGCAGGAUUUUGUUGAUUCUAUUUGUAUUAAUCUCUAUUUUAUAGAUCGAAAGACUCAGAUGACAAAGUGUUCCCCUGGUUUUUAGUGUCGCGCAAUUUUAUAAGCAAUUUUCUAGGCCUAGGGUUUUUCGUAUGUAUUUUCGAUAUGAUUUCCCAAACUCGACCCACAAAAACCAACACACUGUACAUACUAACGAUUGCGUAGCACAGGACGAGGACGACGAGGACCAGAAAUCGGACAGAUCUGACCAGUUAUAACUUCCACUAUGUUCGUGUCCUUGGUUCUUACAGAGUACUCAUAAACCUAUGUAGAUACAACUGUUUCCUAAUAGCCUUUAAGUGUAUCGUACUAUGCUAAUCGAAACCGACAGACAAGUGAUGAUCAUCAUCACCAGUUUAGAUGGGGAAGAGUUAGUUUUUUUGGGGAUCGUUUGAGAAACUCACACAGCAUUUAUUAUGCGGCGCACAAAACAAAAAAGUAAUGAAAUCAAAAACAAAACAAAAAUAGUAAAAAUCCAAAGGAGUAAGCUGACGGAAGGGAGAUGAUUAAUCGACCAUUCCCAGAGUAGAUCAAAAAACCCGUCGUUGAAACCAAGAUCUAAGGCUCGGGGAUCGAGAGCAAAGCAAAAAGCCCGGCCUGGCCAAAAAGGAGGGAGCAGGGAUCAGGGACUCGGAAAAUACAACACAGCAGAGUGUGAAUCAGUCGAAAUGAUAUUUUUGUUUAAACUCUUCUUCCUUUUUAAGAACUGUAAAUAAAACAAAUAGAAGCUGUAUGAUAUUAACAAUUUUAUAUUGAGUGUUUUAUUUUCCAUUUUGCUGUACUACUCAGUUGCACUCUCAAAUAGUGAAUAUGUUUUGAUAUUCGAAUCAAACUCAGACAAUAAACGUUAAAAUCUAUUUUGUAACUCGGUGGUAACUUAUUUUCAUUACUAUAGCGAACAAGAGGACAGGAGGUGCAUAACUUUUGGACUCUCCAGAUCACUUGGUCUGCGAAGUCCUGCAGCUGAUUAAAUGCGAGCGUAAAUAAAUAUAUUAAACCAAAGUAAA